AACGAACGCUGGCGGCAUGCCUAACACAUGCAAGUCGAACGAGACCUUCGGGUCUAGUGGCGCACGGGUGCGUAACGCGUGGGAACCUGCCCUUAGGUUCGGAAUAACUCCCCGAAAGGGGUGCUAAUACCGGAUAAUGUCUUCGGACCAAAGAUUUAUCGCCUUUGGAUGGGCCCGCGUUGGAUUAGCUAGUUGGUAGGGUAAAAGCCUACCAAGGCGACGAUCCAUAGCUGGUCUGAGAGGAUGAUCAGCCACACUGGGACUGAGACACGGCCCAGACUCCUACGGGGGGCAGCAGUGGGGAAUAUUGGACAAUGGGCGAAAGCCAGAUCCAGCAAUGCCGCGUGAGUGAUGAAGGCCUUAGGGUUGUAAAGCUCUUUUACCCGGGAUGAUAAUGACAGUACCGGGAGAAUAAGCUCCGGCUAACUCCGUG
rnacentral:rRNA from 1 species